rnacentral:rRNA from 1 species
GAUGAUCGCUAGCGGCAGGCCUAAUACAUGCAAGUCGAAUGGUGUCUUGGGACACAGUGGCGCACGGGUGGGUAACACCUAUGUCACCUAACUUAACUACGGGGAUGGGCUUUCGAAAGGGAUAUUAAUACCGCAUGCGACAGUAGAUCGGCAUCCACCAGCCGUUAAAGACUUAUCGAUGUACGCCGGGCUUGCGUCCAAUUCGCCAGUUGGUGAGGUAACGGCGCCCCAAGGCAAUGCUUGGUACGGGAACUGAGAGGGCAAUCCCCCACACUGGCACUGAGAUACGGGCCAGACUCCUACUGGAGGCAGCAGUAGGGAAUAUUGGGCAAUGGACGCAAGUCUGACCCAGCCAUGCCGCGUGCAGGAUGAAGGCGUUAUGCGUUGUAAACUGCUUUUAUACAGGAAGAAACGACUCUUGCGAGAGGCAUUGACGGUACUGUAUGAAUAAGCACCGGCUAACUCCGUGCCAGCAGCCGCAGUAACAC